CUUUUUCAGAUAUACAACCACAUACUAAGACAUGUAAAGGCCCUCCAUAUGACCAAGGAGGUACACAUUCAGUCAUAACAAGUAACAGCUCUUGAUGUAAAACUAUGACUGAUUAAAAUGACCACACAACUGUUUCUUUAAAUGAAUAACUCUGUAAUGACUUAUAGAUGUUUCUUCAAAUCCGAGCAUUAAUGACUGAUAUUAACUGUCUGGAGACAAUAAAAAUAUAGUUUUCAUUUAAACAAACAUAAUCAUAACAAAAAUUUAUUUUAACAAUAUUAAGUAUUCUUAAAAAUCAGAUGUGAGCUUCAGCUAACAAUGUCUUGUAACUCUGUUUAGAUGUCUACUUGGGAGUUUUUUCAGCUUUUGUCGUGGCCACUCAGAAUCUAAAAUCAUACGAUGGUAAAUCUGCAUGAGUGUAAUGGAUAUAAAUAUGCAACAGUCAAAGGAUUUUUAAUGAUAAAAUCUUAUUCUGUGUUCCAGUCUGCCCUGUGUCCUGUGGAUGUGGACUCAUCGUGUUCGCUGUAAGCGGAGCAAUAAGGAAAUGUAGCUCUCUAAGGUAGGUGGACUUGUGAAAUCAUCAAAUUGAACUGUUGAAAGUUAAAUUUGAUCAUUAAAAGGGUUAAAUGCUUUUACGUGUGUUUUUUCUUGAAAGGAGGCUGAGAGAGAGACAGAAUCCCUGGUGGUAGAAGGAGUCUCCAGGCAUACCAGUGUUACCUACAUGCAGGGGUGUGUCCACUGUCCAGAGAAGAGUCCAGGAGUGGCACAGCCCUCCUUAAAAUUUGAUAUAUGUCCACCAAUCUCAACCAUGUUUUUUUUUACAUGAACGUGCACACUUUU